CCUACGGGUGGCAGCAGUGAGGAAUAUUGGUCAAUGGGCGAGAGCCUGAACCAGCCAAGUAGCGUGAAGGAUGACGGCCCUAUGGGUUGUAAACUUCUUUUAUAAGGGAAUAAAGCGAGGCACGUGUGCCGUUUUGCAUGUACUUUAUGAAUAAGGAUCGGCUAACUCCGUGCCAGCAGCCGCGGUAAUACGGAGGAUCCGAGCGUUAUCCGGAUUUAUUGGGUUUAAAGGGUGCGUAGGGGGGUUGUUAAGUCAGUGGUGAAAGUUUGCGGCUCAACCAUAGAAUUGCAGUUGAUACUGGCAGGCUUGAGUAGAGUUGAGGUAGGCGGAAUGCGUGGUGUAGCGGUGAAAUGCUUAGAUAUCACGAAGAACCCCGAUUGCGAAGGCAGCUUAC
rnacentral:rRNA from 1 species